GAACGCUGGCGGCGCGCCUAACACCUGCAAGUCGAACGGAGCUGAGAGAAGCUUGCUUUUCUUAGCUUAGUGGCGAACGGGUGAGUAACGCGUGAGUAACCUGCCCUGGAGUGGGGGACAACAGUUGGAAACGACUGCUAAUACCGCAUAAGCCCACGAUCCGGCAUCGGAUUGAGGGAAAAGGAUUUAUUCGCUUCAGGAUGGACUCGCGUCCAAUUAGCUAGUUGGUGAGGUAACGGCCCACCAAGGCGACGAUUGGUAGCCGGACUGAGAGGUUGAACGGCCACAUUGGGACUGAGACACGGCCCAGACUCCUACGGGAGGCAGCAGUGGGGGAUAUUGCACAAUGGGGGAAACCCUGAUGCAGCGACGCCGCGUGGAGGAAGAAGGUUUUCGGAUUGUAAACUCCUGUCGUUAGGGACGAUAAUGACGGUACCUAACAAGAAAGCACCGGCUAACUACGUG
rnacentral:rRNA from 1 species